rnacentral:tRNA from 1 species
GUCGGUAGCUCAGUCGGUAGAGCAGCGGACUUUUAAUCCGUUGGUCGUGGGUUCGAAUCCCACCCGACC